rnacentral:sRNA from 1 species
AAGCAUUUCCCUAUUUAAAACGAGCACCGAGCUUGACGGUUCAACUUAGCAACGAAAGCGAUAAA